rnacentral:lncRNA from 1 species
UAUGGCUAACUUGUGUACUGUCAUUGCUUCUUUUUGGGGGUCAUUUUUCUCGAUAGAGGCUGGGCGUUGGCUUCUAAUAUUUCACUGUGCAAACAUUUCCCAACAUUUUCACUGCAAAAGAUUGCAGGAUAAAAAUGUUGGAAAGAAAAGUUUGCAGGAACCUAACUCUAUAUUUCCCAUAGGCACACUGGUUUUGUAUUUGCAAAGAAUUUACAGAAUGUAGCUUAUCACAAAUAAUGAGAAUCAACUGUAUUCACAUGCAUAAAAUUAAUAAUAAAAGAAAAAUGGUAAUGAUAAAAAUAACAGUAAUUUAUCUAAAUAACAUUUAAAACUGCAGGAAAAACCCUAUCAUGAAAACAUUUUAACUGCUAUUUUGUCAUAUACCUAUUUGCACACUAACACUUCCUUCCAAUUAUCAGGCUAUUUAAAAACAGUGACGUUUCAGCACACAAAUAGCUGGCCAAAUAGUAUUUUAUUGUACUUUCAGAAAAUGUAUAAUUUGUUCAAAUCUGAGAAUAUGAUUAUUGUUUGAAGUUUUCUAAUCUGGAGAUUCCUUACAUAACUGUGAGAGGAGAUCCCAACAUAUUUAUUAUUAACUCGUACAUAAAAAAAUUAUGUAGAUUCAGGGAUAACUGUAAUUAAUCUGAAUUUUCAACUAAAUUACAAACUACAUUUGACCAAACUCUGAUAUUAUACACAUAUUAACGAAAGAGGGCAGUCAAAUAUAUUGUGGAAAUAAAUCCAGCAUUAAUAGAAGAAAAAUCAAGCACAAUAGCAAAGAACUUUUAUUUAUGGC